AAUACGCCCGCGUUAGCGAUUGCAACGGCAUCCUUUUUUGGAGGAACGAGAAAAAAGAUAUAGUGGAAAGCGCGACCUGAA
rnacentral:sRNA from 1 species